rnacentral:rRNA from 1 species
GACAGAAGUGCCGAGCGUUAGGCGGAAUCACUGGGCUUAAAGCGUGUGUAGGCGGACCGUUAAGUACCUUGUGAAAUCCCCCGGCUCAACCGGGGAACGGCUGGGUAUACUGGCGGUCUUGAGCCAUCCAGGGGCAGUCGGAACAGACGGUGGAGCGGUGAAAUGCGUAGAUAUCGUCUGGAACGCCGAAGGUGAAAACAGACUGCUGGGGAUGAGCUGACGCUGAGACGCGAAAGCGUGGGGAGCGAACAGG